CGCUCGCUCCCCGCCGUCCCCCUGGGCCGCCACCGCGGGCACCGGGCGGUGACGCUGGCACGGCCGCGCAGCCCCCAGCCCUCCCCUGCCGCCGGAUCCCGGGCCAGCGGGGACGCCGGGAGAGAGGAGCUGGGGACAGGCCUUUCCAUGGUGUCUGCUACCUGCCCGCCACCGCCCUCGCCAGCCCGGGCACAUGGGGGCGAAGAGCAGCCUCCACCCCACGUCCCCACUGCCCUCCCUGGGCCAAGGACCCCAAAGAUCCGGGCUCCUGUCCCCCCCCAGCCUCUGCCACCGAUGGGCAGGGUGCUGGGGUCCCGCUCCGGGACCUUCCUGUGCCCAGCAGCAGCCGGAGGGAUUUGGGGAUGCCGAGGGCACAAGUUGUGGGGGCUCGCAGCUCCCGCUUGCCCAUGCCGCCGCCUAUAAAGCGGGGCCGGGGCCGGCAGCCGGGCAGAGGCGGUGGCGGCGGCAGCGGCAGGCAGCGGCCGGCCCCCCCUCCCCGCCCCCGGCCCCCCGGUUCCCCCGGCCGGCCGGCACCAUGCGCGCCGCCCCGCUGCUGCUGCUGCUCGCCCUGCUCGCCCUGCCCGCCCGCGCCGCCCGCCCCAAGCUCGCCCUGCCCAUCCGGCCCGACACCGAGCCGCUGCCCCCCGGGGGGGCGGCAGGUAGGACCCCCUCCGUGCGCCCCUUUUCCUCCACACCCCCUUUCCCGUGCGCCCCCGGCGCAGGCACCCCCUCUCCAAGCCACCCCUCUCCGAGCCACCCCUCUCCUCGCACCCCCUCCGUGCUCCCCCCUUCGUGCACCCC
rnacentral:lncRNA from 1 species